rnacentral:rRNA from 1 species
GAUGAACGCUGGCGGCGUGCCUAAUACAUGCAAGUCGAGCGAACAGACGAGGAGCUUGCUCCUCUGACGUUAGCGGCGGACGGGUGAGUAACACGUGGAUAACCUACCUAUAAGACUGGGAUAACUUCGGGAAACCGGAGCUAAUACCGGAUAAUAUAUUGAACCGCAUGGUUCAAUAGUGAAAUACGGUUUUGCUGUCACUUAUAGAUGGAUCCGCGCCGCAUUAGCUAGUUGGUAAGGUAACGGCUUACCAAGGCAACGAUGCGUAGCCGACCUGAGAGGGUGAUCGGCCACACUGGAACUGAGACACGGUCCAGACUACUACGGGAGGCAGCAGUAGGGAAUCUUACGCAAUGGGCGAAAGCUUGACGGAGCAACGCCGCGUGAGUGAUGAAGGUCUUCGGAUCGUAAAACUCUGUUAUUAGGGAAGAACAAAUGUGUAAGUAACUAUGCACGUCUUGACGGUACCUAAUCAGAAAGCCACGGCUAACUACGUG